UUGAGAGAGACCAGGUACAGAACAGUCUAAAUACCACGACCUCUGUGAGAGACCAGCUACAAAAUAUUCUAAAUACCACGACCACUGAGAGAGACCAGUUUAAAACGAGGCUUAGUUUCUAUGAGAAACCCUGUCUGGAUGGAUGGUGGAAGUUUGGCACCAGCUGUUACUAUGUCUCCUCCACGAUGGACACAGGCGGGGGCGGUCAGAAGGAGUGCAGAACAAUGGGUGGAGAUUAUGUUAUUAUAAACAGCAGAGAAGAACAGAUAUUUAUCAAUGGAUUUAAGAAGAAUGUCUGGAUUGGUACAUAUAAAAAAGAUGGAAUCUGGAAGUGGGUUGACAGCACACCAUUUAACACUACCUAUUGGAUGGAAGGGGAACCAAAUAACUUGAAUGACAAGGUGGCUUGUGUUGAGAUCUCACAGACGGCAUCAGACCCAUUGAAGAGUUGGAAGGAUGGAUCUUGUGCUACUCGAAAAUAUUGUGUGUGUGAAAAACCGUUCACACCGUAGUCUACUUAUAAUAGCUAAUGUAAUUCCCUAUCUUAUGGAGUUGAACUGCUUUUCACUGUGUUAGGCUGAACCUGUUUUUGUUUCUAUGUGUAACUACACUGAAAGAUGUAUUCAUGUCUUUAAAGAGACCAUGUCUCUGGAGUCUACCGUUCAUCAGGCCCAGCGGAGUGGAACUGUGGUCUAGAAGGCUCUAACUGGUUUACAUAUUACCUUUGAUCAUAUUGACAAAAUGUACCUUUGUGGUAUGCAUAUAUCCAUUAUUUUAUUUAAGUUUUUACAGUUAUCAAUCCUUUUAAAAUGCUGCAGUGUUCUAUGUUUGCUUCCUUUCUGUUCCAUAUGUACCAUGUGUUCAUUCUACUGAUUAAAUACAUCUAUAUACUGUGAUCCA